ensembl:lncRNA
CAGGAGAUGAGCAGAUGCAUUUCUUUGCCGUGCUUUGUCUCUGCCCCAUCUCCAGCUCUCUGGAUCCCUUUGCCGCUCCUUUCCCCGAGGACCCCCAACCCAGCUUCUCUGGCGACAGCUUUUUCUGGAUGUGUGUCCUCCACAAUGAGGCUGCAGCCCACCGGGAAUCCCCCCCUUUCACUUUGUGAGUGCGCUGAACCCGAAGAAAUUAAGCUCCGAAUUUUCGAGGAGUGGAUUUAUUAAUAGCAGCUGCAAGUAGAAAUGACGUCUAAUUGUGAUCAGCACUGAGAGAGCAGAAGGAAGGAGGGCUGCUGUGCGCAUCGCGUUACGAAGCGACCGACGCGACCGGAGGGAGACGGCCUCAGCAAACGGGAUAAUUACAGCCGUGCUGCCAUAAUUAAUGCUCACGCGCUCUGUUCCUCAGCCCUGUUUUUCUGGUGCAGCUCGGUUUAAGUGAAGGUCUCCGUGUCGCUCUGACGCUGGUUUAGGCUGCAAAAGCCAUCAGCCCACGGGGAAAUUCAUUCUUGAAACUGCAGCUUAAAUCUGUGAGCCAUUUCUGAAAUUACAGGUUAGCAGAGCCCGGGGCCUUCCACAGAGCAGACACACAUUGUUCAGAGCUUUGGAAUCAGCGCCUGUAGCGACGCAGCACUAAAAUGGAGGACCCACCACCAGCGGGCAGAGCCCACCUUCACUGUGUGCACAUCUCACAGCACCACCGCUGGGCCCUUCCCCAGGAGCUGCUCCCCGACGGGAAGCGCUGUGCCGCAAAGGCCCAUAAGGACAGCAGCAAAAGCCCACUGCUUAAAUACAGUGUGGGUAUCUGUGGGAAGGAUCUGCCCGUGGGCAAUAUGAGCAGCACAUCAGUCACGAAGCAGCCGGAGCCGUGAGCAGAGCUGUGCUGGUGGAAACGAAUCCCUCCUGCCUCACCGCCAGCGCUGCUCUCCCACCUGACGGAGUCCUUCCCGGUUUGUAAAUGCACAGCACUGCAGUGGGAAGCAGAGCACCGCAUCAGCCAUGGGACAGAACUCUGCAGGGGGGGAGGAUGGGAGAACCCCCCCCGAGAGGAGGAGCCCUUUGCAGCUCUGCUGGGAGAUAAACGAGCGGGGUUCUGCCUGCAGAAGGCACUCUGUUCUGCUCACUGCUGGCACCGCGUGAGCGCACUGCUUGCUUCGGCGCUGGGAGGCGAAAGACAACCUGCAGAGAAUGGAACUUUGUGGACUCUGCAGCCUGGGAUGGCCCCGAGCUGCCCAGAUGGCUGCGGGGUACCACACACCUGUGAGCUCUGCGGGGCCACUGAGCGCCGGGGAGCAGAUUGCAGGGAGUAAGGGUGGCUGUAGGCGUGCAGAGCUGUGAUAAAAGCAGCUGCUGAAGAUGAGUGAGGACACAAAUCAUCGGUGUGGAGGAGCUGUGAGCUCCCGGUGUUUCACUUAUGUCAGUGGGAGCUGCUUUUAGUGCUCAGCUCGUCCCAAGAGCAGGGCUGACAGCAUCGAGAUGUGACCACAACCAGAGGACGAGCGAGGGAAUCUUGGCCUGCAUAGCUUUGCAAUGAGUUCACGGCACAUUCCUGACUCCCCGGCCCGUUCCGAGCCUCCGGAGCUGCGCACCAUUUCUGUGCAAUCACACUACAGCUUAUGCACAGCCACAAACACGGCCACACACCUCCCGCAGGACGGCGCGGUGCUCCCUGCCCCGCACACAGCAGUGGCACUGAGCCCAGCAGGGAUGCAGAGCUGCCCAGCGCAGCUCCGCGCCUCCGUGCCACCGUCGUGCAGCACCUCAUCCAUCUGCAGCAUGCAGCUCUGCGGGGCUCUGGCUCUGCGCCUCUGCAAACAGCGGCGUGGUAGAACCGCGUGUUCUCUCCGGGUCACAACGGGUUGCAGUCACAAACGGACAGCGUUUGCAAGACCACCUUGGGAGUUAUGGAUGUACAACUUGAAGCAGAACCCGAAAUGGCUUGAGAUGGCUUUUUAAUUAAUGAAGGAGUUAAUGAGCACUUUGGGAAUCAGAUGUGCUGGCCCGGCUGGGUGCCGCUGGGCAGCUCUGCAUGGAAGGAGGGCUCCUGCUUUCCAAUUCCUUGCACACCCCCCCUUUUCUCGUGGCUCCCCACAAUCGAGGAAUACCCUUCAGCUGAGGCCUUAACAGGGUGGUAACAACAAAGGAAAGGCAAACGCAGAACCCCUCCAGAUUGCUUCCUGCAGGGACAGCUUCCCCCCUCCCAGCCUUUCAUUUCUGCACUCCAGAGCCCGGACGUCUGCAGACAGUUGCUGGAUACCUCCAGUAUCCAGAAGGGCCCAUAUGUGCUAUCAGUGUUUGCCAGCAAAGUGCCGGGCUGGAAUCAAACAUUUCCAGCUUUUGUGCGGAAAGAAUAAAACGGCAGCAGAUAGAUUAAAAAAAGACCUGUUUCAGACAGAAAAGAGCAGAGCUGCUGCACGGUGCUGUGUGAAUACCUCUGGCUCCGAGGACAUCCACUGCCCUCCUUUUAGAUGGUAUUUAUCGGGAAUUUGGGUGUUUUUGUCAGUCCUUAUUCUGUUUUAUCAGACAUCUCUGCCAACUCAGUGCACUGCGGGGUGGGCUGGAGGAUGAGGGCAGGAGGGCCGUGCAGUGGGAAUGGGAAAGUGAGCAGUAAAUGGUGAAGCACCGUGCGCCCCAUCUAAAAGUCCCAGGGUUCCCCACUUGUUUCACUCUGGUUGGUUAAGGGUGGAAAACCAGAGCUUGUGAUGGUGAACUCUGGGACUGGUUGUGUAAAUGGCCCUCUGGUCUCACCCCACAGGGAAAAUGUGUUGGUGAAAAGAAGGAGAGAUGGGGUUUGAGCUUUAACAUUUGUAUUAUAAUAGAGCAAACUAUGGAGUUACAGAUCUCAUAUUCCCAAUGCUCCAUGUGUACGCUUUGCCAUUACCCAGCACUGAAACUCCAGGAAUACGCACAGCGGGGCAGAGGUGUAACUGCCCUACAGAGGUGUGCUUGAACAAAACUACCAACUACAGCACUGCAUACACCACUUCACACACUGCUACUGCUCUGUCGCUG